rnacentral:rRNA from 1 species
AUUGAACGCUGGCGGCAGGCCUAACACAUGCAAGUCGAGCGGAUGAUGGGAGCUUGCUCCUGGAUUCAGCGGCGGACGGGUGAGUAAUGCCUAGGAAUCUGCCUGGUAGUGGGGGACAACGAUUCGAAAGGAACGCUAAUACCGCAUACGUCCUACGGGAGAAAGCAGGAGCCCUUCGGGCCUUGCGCUAUCAGAUGAGCCUAGGUCGGAUUAGCUAGUAUGUGAGGUAAAGGCUCACAUAGGCGACGAUCCGUAACUGGUCUGAGAGGAUGAUCAGUCACACUGGAACUGAGACACGGUCCAGACUCCUACGGGAGGCAGCAGUGGGGAAUAUUGGACAAUGGGCGAAAGCCUGAUCCAGCCAUGCCGCGUGUGUGAAGAAGGUCUUCGGAUUGUAAAGCACUUUAAGUUGGGAGGAAGGGCAGUAAGUUAAUACCUUGUUGUUUUGACGUUACCGACAGAAUAAGCACCGGCUAACUCUGUGCCAGCCGCCGCGGUAAGAC